AUUGAACGCUGGCGGCAUGCCUAACACAUGCAAGUCGAACGAGUGGCGGAGGGGUGAGUAAUGUCUGGGACACUGCCCGUUGGAGGGGGAUAACUACUGGAAAGGGUGGCUAAUACCGCAUACCAUCAGAUGUGCCCAGAUUGGAUUAGCUUGUUGGUGGGGUAACGGCUCACCAAGGCCACGAGCCCUAGCUGGUCUGAGAGGAUGACCGGCCAAACUGGAACGGAGACACGGUCCAGACUCCUACGGGAGGCAGCAGUGGGGAAUAUUGGACAAUGGGCGAAAGCCUGAUGCAGCAAUGCCGCGGGUAUGAGGAAGGUCUUCGGGUUGUAAAGUACUUUCAGCGGGGAGGCGUUACCCGCAGAAGAAGCACCGGCUAACUCCGUGCCAGCAGCCGCGGUAAUUC
rnacentral:rRNA from 1 species